GUAGUCAUAUGCUUGUCUCAAAGAUUAAGCCAUGCAUGUCUAAGUAUAAGCAAUUUAUACGGUGAAACUGCGAAUGGCUCAUUAAAUCAGUUAUAGUGUAUUUGAUAGUACCUUACUACAUGGAUACCUGUGGUAAUUCUAGAGCUAAUACAUGCUUAAAACUCCGACUUCGGAAGGAGUGUAUUUAUUAGAUAAAAAACCAAUGCCCUCCGGGGCUCCUUGGUGAAUCAUGAUAACUUCUCGAAUCGCAUGGCCUUGCGCUGGCGAUGGUUCAUUCAAAUUUCUGCCCUAUCAACUUUCGAUGGUAGGAUAGUGGCCUACCAUGGUGGCAACGGGUAACGGGGAAU
rnacentral:rRNA from 1 species